UACGGGUGGAGCAAGCGUUGUUCGGAUUUACUGGGCGUAAAGGGCGCGUAGGCGGCCACCGCACGUCGGUUGUGAAAUCUCUGGGCUUAACCCAGAAAGGUCAACCGAUACUGCGGGGCUAGAGUGCAGAAGGGGCAACUGGAAUUCUCGGUGUAGCGGUGAAAUGCGUAGAUAUCGAGAGGAACACCUGCGGCGAAGGCGGGUUGCUGGGCUGACACUGACGCUGAAGCGCGAAAGCUAGGGGAGCGAACGGG
rnacentral:rRNA from 1 species